rnacentral:rRNA from 1 species
UUUGGACAUGGGGGAAACCCUGNCCAGCGACGCCGCGUGUGUGAAGAAGGCCUGCGGGUUGUAAAGCACUUUUAGUGGGGAUGAAAAGCUCAGGGCUAAUACCUCUGGGUCUUGACCUAACCCACAGAAAAAGCACCGGCUAACUCUGUGCCAGCAGCCGCGGUAAUACAGAGGGUGCAAGCGUUAAUCGGAAUUACUGGGCGUAAAGCGUGCGUAGACGGUUAUGUAAGUCGGGUGUGAAAGCCCCGGGCUCAACCUGGGAAUGCCAUUCGAGACUGCAUAGCUAGGGUACGGAAGAGGGAAGCGGAAUUUCAGGUGUAGCGGUGAAAUGCGUAGAUAUCUGAAGGAACACCAGUGGCGAAAGCGGCUUCCUGGUCCAGUACCGACGUUCAGGCACGAAAGCGUGGGGAGCAAACAGGAUUAGAUACCCUGGUAGUCCACGCCAUAAACGAUGAGAACUAGACGUUGAGAGGGUAAGCCUCCCAGUGUCGUAGCUAACGCGCUAAGUUCUCCGCCUGGGGAGUACGGCCGCAAGGUUGAAACUCAAAAAAAUUGACGGA